GACGUAGGGCGCGAGCGUUGUCCGGAUUUAUUGGGUUUAAAGGGUGCGUAGGUGGCGUCUUAAGUCUGGUUUGAAAGCUGGUGGCUCAACCAUCAGAUGUGGCUGGAAACUGGGGCGCUUGAAUGGGUUGGCGGUAGCCGGAACGGGUCAUGUAGCGGUGAAAUGCAUAGAUAUGACCCAGAACACCGAUUGCGAAGGCAGGCUACUACGACUUGAUUGACACUGAGGCACGAGAGCAUGGGUAGCGAACAGG
rnacentral:rRNA from 1 species